rnacentral:misc_RNA from 1 species
GACGGAGGGGGCUAGCGUUGUUCGGAAUUACUGGGCGUAAAGAGCGCGUAGGCGGAUUAAUAAGUUGGGAGUGAAAGCCCGGGGCUUAACCUCGGAAUUGCUUCCAAAACUGUUAAUCUAGAGUAUGGUAGGGGGUGAUGGAAUUCCUAGUGUAGAGGUGAAAUUCUUAGAUAUUAGGAGGAACACCGGUGGCGAAGGCGGUCACCUGGGCCAUAACUGACGCUGAGGCGCGAAAGCGUGGGGAGCAAACAGG